AUUACCCUAUCAUUUUUAUAAAUUUGAAGGGUAAAAAAGUCUUGCUGAAAGUGGAUACUAAGUCUCUUGAUGUUGAUAGCUAUUUUAGAACUUUUCGUGUGAAGAGGAUUUGUAAUGAUGCUACAAUUAUUUCAAUGUUUGAGCUUGCUCAGACUGAAAUAACACCUUUGAAGGAUGCACUGUUCCUGUGUUUGGCCCUGAGCUAGGUGAAACGUCUAAUAUAAAAUGUGUUACUGUCAUGUCAUCUUUUCUUCCAAAAGAAGCAAAUGUUGUUGGACUUGAUGAUAUACACUUAGAUAUGGAAGGUGUUAAGGAGGUUGACAUUCAGGAUCAUUCUGUUGAUAGUGAUGAGAAUAUGGUGCUGUUGGAUGAUAUUGCCUCACUUAUUCGGUCUGAUAUUGAGGAGACUCGGGUGAUACUCGAUUUAUUGCUUGAUUUUCAAUAAUUCUUAUUCAUCAUUAUAAUUAGUUUUCUGUGGAGUUUCAAUAGGUUUUCGUCUAAUUGGGUGAUCCUCUUUUUUUGUCGUGCUUUCCUUUUUUGUUUUAUUUUCUUGUGUAGGAUUUACUCUCACACUUUUUAGAUGACUCAAAAAAAAUAAAUGUGUCUAAUGUUGUUUAAAAAGAUGCAGUAUAUUUAAAAGUGAAGAGAAAUCUUGAGGCUGACUUUGAGAAGGAUCUUGAGGAUACUGUUGCUCAUUGCUCUAAAAUAAUCAAGAUUAAAGAUAUUUAAGAUGGGUGUUUAUGGAUGAAAAGCUAGCUGCUGUCUUAGGUCUAUGAAGUUAGAUUCAUGUAAUAGGUUUUAUCUUUGUUAUGGUGAAUUACAUAUGAAGUUUAUUAAUUUUUCUCUUUUUGAGGUGUGUCCAACUGCUAGAAGAGCCAUCUUUGUUCCUCUUUCUUUUUUGGAAGAAAUUUUGCGUUUUGAAGUUCUACGAUGUUCAAGUAGAUUAGUGGUUCUUUUGU